CUGGGGAGAAGAGUUUGAAUGAAAAACUGAUGGAAUUUAUCAGAAAACAACCAGAUAUACAAGUCAGAAUUCUUAUGUAUGAGCCCUUGGAGUUGGAUGUAUUGAAGCAGAAAAAUUACUGAGGCAGAGAUAAAGUGUUCUAUGGAAAAGCUGAAAGAGUUCUUAGAUGAUAAGUGCAUUACCUUUACAAUGAAGAACAUGCGAAAAAGUCCAAGGAAGAAAAGACGAAGUCCAAAGAAAAGAAAGGCCACUGAAAACAGUCCAACUAAAAGUAGUCCUGCCAAAGGUCAAGGAAAAGGGAGAAAGAAACUGAAUCCUUCCAAAAAUUCUGUUUUAAACUUGGAUAGAAUUAAAUUAUAUAAAUGUAUUGCUAUGCCGGGUGAACAGUAAUCUGACAUUUUUGUUAGACCCUUUUAUCACAUACUGAAUUGUAAAUAUAUGAUGUUAA